rnacentral:rRNA from 1 species
GGUGUGAUGACGAGGCACUACGGUGCUGAAGUAACAAAUGCCCUGCUUCCAGGAAAAGCCUCUAAGCAUCAGGUAACACGAAAUCGUACCCCAAACCGACACAGGUGGUCAGGUAGAGAAUACCAAGGCGCUUGAGAGAACUCGGGUGAAGGAACUAGGCAAAAUGGUGCCGUAACUUCGGGAGAAGGCACGCUGAUAUGUAGGUGAAGCCCCUGCGGGUGGAGCUGAAAUCAGUCGAAGAUACCAGCUGGCUGCAACUGUUUAUUAAAAACACAGCACUGUGCAAACACGAAAGUGGACGUAUACGGUGUGACGCCUGCCCGGUGCCGGAAGGUUAAUUGAUGGGGUUAGCGGCAACGCGAAGCUCUUGAUCGAAGCCCCGGUAAACGGCGGCCGUAACUAUAACGGUCCUAAGGUAGCGAAAUUCCUUGUCGGGUAAGUUCCGACCUGCACGAAUGGCGUAAUGAUGGCCAGGCUGUCUCCACCCGAGACUCAGUGAAAUUGAACUCGCUGUGAAGAUGCAGUGUACCCGCGGCAAGACGGAAAGACCCCGUGAACCUUUACUAUAGCUUGACACUGAACACUGGUCCUUGAUGUGUAGGAUAGGUGGGAGGCUUUGAAGCGUGGACGCCAGUCUGCGUGGAGCCGACCUUGAAAUACCACCCUUUAAUGGCUGGUGUUCUAACGUAGACCCGUAAUCCGGGUUGCGGACAGUGUCUGGUGGGUAGUUUGACUGGGGCGGUCUCCUCCCAAAGAGUAACGGAGGAGCACGAAGGUUAGCUAAUCCUGGUCGGACAUCAGGAGGUUAGUGCAAUGGCAUAAGCUAGCUUGACUGCGAGAGUGACGGCUCGAGCAGGUGCGAAAGCAGGUCAUAGUGAUCCGGUGGUUCUGAAUGGAAGGGCCAUCGCUCAACGGAUAAAAGGUACUCCGGGGAUAACAGGCUGAUACCGCCCAAGAGUUCAUAUCGACGGCGGUGUUUGGCACCUCGAUGUCGGCUCAUCACAUCCUGGGGCUGAAGUAGGUCCCAAGGGUAUGGCUGUUCGCCAUUUAAAGUGGUACGCGAGCUGGGUUUAGAACGUCGUGAGACAGUUCGGUCCCUAUCUGCCGUGGGCGCUGGAGAAUUGAGGGGGGCUGCUCCUAGUACGAGAGGACCGGAGUGGACGCAUCACUGGUGUUCGGGUUGUCAUGCCAAUGGCACUGCCCGGUAGCUAAAUGCGGAAGAGAUAAGUGCUGAAAGCAUCUAAGCACGAAACUUGCCCCG